UGGGUAUUUUUUUUCAUUUUUUUCAUACUUUAUGAUUUACUUUUUUGAUUAAAGGUCAGUUAUUGGGUGGAUUAGAUUUAUCAUCACCCUUGAUUGUAAUCAGUUUUCACUAUUAUUAUUAUUUGUAAGUAUCAACAACCUUAUUUAUCAUCACCCAAGGUGAUAAACUGUAUUAAACGAAAGCUUUUGGACCAAACCUUGAUUUCAAAUGAAUAAUUUAUAUUUACAUUUACAAAGUUGUCAAAUUGUUUCUCCUAAUCAUUCCAUUAUUUCAAAUAACAAUUAUGCUAUCAUUAAAUAAAUAUUAAAUAAAUAAACCAUUAAUAAUGAUAAUAGAUUAUAAUAAUAAUGAAACUUAAUCCAAACUCGUCAAUCCUUUUCUUAUAUUUCUAACCUUCUGUGAUACAAACUUCAAUUUAAAAAUGAUCCCUCAUCGACACUUGUAUUUUUCACCGUAAAUCAAGUCUACCAAUUUUUUUUAUUAUUAAUGAUUGAUACAAUUGAGAUUAAUUCUCAUCUUACUUUAAUUGUGGUUCCUUUAUUUUUUUUUGUUUUCUUGUACUUCAACUUAACUUAUCUUUACUAGAUAGUUUCAAGUGAUAUCAACAAUAACAACAAUAAUAAAAAUAAUAAUAAGUAGUAUGGCAAGGUAAAAUUUCCAGUUUUCAGUCAAAGAGUCAAAGAUGGUAUAAGGUUGUUGUGCUGUUGGACCCAAGAUGCUGAUGAUAAGAGAGAGAGAGAGAGAGAGGAAAACUAGAUUGACCCGUGGUUACCAUAAGUUGAAAGACGUCUUAAAGACAUAUGGUCUUUGGUCUUACCUUACAUUCAACCUGCCCCGUGCCUGAACCGGAAAAAAGGAGAGAAAAAAGGAAAAGAAGGAGCAAAGAAGUGGAAAGAAAAAGAAGAAACGAGACAAAGGAAAGAGCAAAGGAACCAACAUGUGAACAGGAAAAGACUUUUAAACUUCUAAACAUAUUUUACCCGAAAAUCUGUCUCCACAUGUCUAUGGAUAUAUUUAAAUGUACACAAGAUCUUUGUAAUUUUCCCUUUUUGACACAUGCACAUUCACUUUGCCCCUUGUGAUUCAAUCACUUAUAUCAAUUUUGGUAUAAACUUUGUUUCUUUUUCCGAAUUGCUCUUCAUCUUUCCAAUUUUUUCCAUCAUGAAUGAUGAUAAUGCGAUGUAAAUAUGAAUUGAUGAUUUUAACUUGAAUUAGCUUCGUAACUCUUUUACACUUUAAACUCAAUUUUUGUUAUAACAAUUUUAUUAACUCAUAUCAUGUUAGAUGUUGAUCUCAACUUUGCUUAUAUUUUCUUACCACUUUCAAUACUGUAAAGUAUUCUUGAAACGAUACCAAGUGUUUCUUGAAAUCUUCAUCUUCAUAUUUUACCAUUUUCUUAUUCAUCAUCGCUAUCAUUACCAGUAUAUUUUAUUAUUAUUUUAAUAUCAAAAUUUUAUCUCCUUCAUCAUAUUCAAUUCAAUUUUAUUUUGCUGUUUGAAACAUUUUCACACAAACUUACAAAAAAAACCUGAUUAUCAUUGUAGCCAAUCGCACUUUACCUGUUCAUAAACCACAUUUUUUAUGUUAUUAAUAUUCAAAUAUUAUAUAGUUUGCUCAUUUUCAUCUCUUA